rnacentral:ncRNA from 1 species
CAAAGGUUUGGUCCUAGCCUUCCUAUUAAUUCUUAGUAGACUUACACAUGCAAGCCUCCACGCUCCAGUGAGAAUGCCCUUAAAAUCAUUAAUGAUCCAAAGGAGCAGGUAUCAAGCACACUUUUAAGUAGCUCAUAACACCUUGCUAAGCCACACCCCCACGGGAUACAGCAGUGAUAAAAAUUAAGCCAUAAACGAAAGUUUGACUAAGCCAUACUAAAUAAGGGUUGGUAAAUUUCGUGCCAGCCACCGCGGUCAUACGAUUAACCCAAAUUAAUAGGCCCACGGCGUAAAGCGUGUUUAAGAUAUCUCUACACUAAAGUUAAAAACUAACUAAGCCGUAAAAAGCUACAGUUAUCAUAAAAUAAACCACGAAAGUGACUUUAUAAUUAUCUGACCACACGAUAGCUAAGACCCAAACUGGGAUUAGAUACCCCACUAUGCUUAGCCCUAAACAUAAAUGAUUUUUUCAACAAAAUAAUUCGCCAGAGAACUACUAGCAGCAGCUUAAAACUCAAAGGACUUGGCGGUGCUUUAUACCCCUCUAGAGGAGCCUGUUCUAUAAUCGAUAAACCCCGAUAAACCUCACCACCUUUUGCUAAUCCAGUCUAUAUACCGCCAUCUUCAGCAAACCCUUAAAAGGCAGAAUAGAAAGCACAAUCAUUUUAUAUAAAAAAGUUAGGUCAAGGUGUAACUUAUAAGGUGGAAAGAAAUGGGCUACAUUUUCUACCCUAAGAACAUUUUACGAAUGUUUUUAUGAAAUUAAAAACUGAAGGAGGAUUUAGUAGUAAAUUAAGAAUAGAGAGCUUAAUUGAAUAGGGCCAUGAAGCGCGCACACACCGCCCGUCACCCUCCUCAAGUAAUAAAACAUAACCAUAACUAUAUUAACUGAAUAAAAACACAAGAGGAGACAAGUCGUAACAAGGUAAGCAUACCGGAAGGUGUGCUUGGAUUAAU